UACGGGGGGAGCAAGCGUUGUUCGGAUUUACUGGGCGUAAAGCGCACGUAGGCGGCUUUGUAAGUUAGAGGUGAAAGCCCGGGGCUCAACUCCGGAAUCGCCUUUAAGACUGCAUCGCUAGAAUUGUGGAGAGGUAAGUGGAAUUCCGAGUGUAGAGGUGAAAAUUCGUAGAUAUUCGGAAGAACACCAGUGGCGAAGGCGACUUACUGGACACAUAUUGACGCUGAGGUGCGAAAGCGUGGGGAGCAAACAGG
rnacentral:rRNA from 1 species